UUCGAAUUUCUCAAAGGCUCUGACAACAGCUGCUAAUUUUGCAAUCUGUGGAGAUCCCUUGAAGGACUUAAAAGUAGAAAACAACCCAGACUGGGUCAAUGACCUUUUCGGUCAGUAGGGAUUACCGGGAUGGGUUCCAUCUUUGGUUAAGGGAAUUUUGUGGAUUUUCAUUCUAAUUGUCAUUGUGUUAGCUAUGUUCUCAUGCCUUGUCCUCUGUUUUAAAAGAACUAUAGGGCAUGCCUUUUUACUAAAUACAGCAAGUGGAGUUGUAGCAGUCAGAGGCCCUGCAAGGCCUCCCUGGCGGUCACUCACCUAAGAUAAGAAAUGCCUAAGUCACGGUGACUGGACCAAAGAAGCCCCUCUUCUGCAUUCGGACCCUUCUUAUCUCUCUUUCAGCAGAAGAACUGUCACUGCAUCCCUUCAGAGGAGCUGGCAAUAAAGGACAUCGCUGUGGAACCGCAUACAGCCUUUUCCUCUCUCUGUCCCUGUGUGUCUGCCAGAGGCACUUGUGAGCACAGAGCGAAAUCACUGAGAGCUGAACUCACAGAGCUGAAAUCACUCCAGAGGUGCUCGCUAAGUUGCCUGUGGCUGGGAGCUGAGCCGAGGGACCCAGACAGGCUGAGCCUGACAGCGCAGCGCUAUCCGGACACCCACGGCAGCGGCAGCCCGGGGGUCAGAUGGACCCCUGGGACCCCAGGCUGCAUUAACCAGGAGUGACUGGGAUCACAGAGGAACCAUAAAGGAAGUUACUGCAAUAAU